UUCAGUUAAAUGGAUGAUGAGUAAUAGUCUUCUCUUACCUGAACAGCAUAUUUUGGAUACUGACAAAUUACAGUGCUCCUGGAAAUGGGUGCAAAGAUGGGCCUGGAGAUGGAAAUCUUCAUUUCUCCACAGACAAGAUAUAGCAUAGCAGCAAUAGUGCUUUCAAGAAGGACUUUACAGAUGUUGUGAAGAAGAAAGCCUAGAGCUGUUUAAAAGACAUGACAAACUGCUAAAAAGCAGAUGCAGCUUUUGUUUAUAAAUCUUCUAGUCUUUUCCUGUAAUUAAGACUAGAGUGGGUUUAGUGUGAAAAUUAAAAUCAUUCCAACUACAGUAUAUAAAAAA